AGAAGCACUCUAGCUACAGAUUAGAAUGAUGACAAGAGUAAUACCUUCCUAGUGAAGAUGACUUUUAUUUCAGGACUAUAUUAAGUUUCCCAACUUCUGUCAUGAUAUAGUCCAAAGAGAACCUGGACCACGCAGACAUCAAACAGAACAUGACACUGACCCAUUCUAUCAGUGACGUUGUGCUGAUUGCACAGGACAGAUGAGAGGCUCGUAUACUAGAAGUCUUGUUUCACAUGUCCACAGAUGAAGAAAAAUUGUGCCCCAGCAAGGAUUAUACCCAGAGCCUCAUCCAUUCAUACCUGAUUUAGAUACUUAGAUGAUGAGUAAUAGAAAAGGUGGUUAUCAAACCUGGGUCAAAGUUGAAUCACCUGAGGAUCUUUUAGAACAUACACAGCCAGCUGGACCUGCCCUCAGCUACCUCAUCUCUCUCUGUGACCUAAUGACAGAAAAGCACAUGAUUCUCUUCACCUGACUUCAUAUAUGGGUCCAUGUCAUAUGAUACUUCAAAAUCUGUGAUUCCAUGAAGCCAAGAGUAGCUCUUCAACAGGAAAUGAAUGAGUGCUUCAGCUUCUGAUCCCAUUAGUAAGAAAAUACAGUCUUAUGAGCAAUGAUGGAGCUGCAUCUCUUAGGGGCAUUUGAUUCCCAAGAGACCAAAGAGCAAAGAGAAUGUCAAUUUAAAAAAAUCAAAUGUUUCCAUGACUUAGCUAUUUAACUGCUUUAAAAUGAAUGAAUGCUGCUUCAAGUUCUUUCAAAUACCCCACAUCUUGGCAACAACGAAAGGAAUUAACAUGAAGAAAAUUUACAAUCUUUCAUCACAUCGAACAAUGUCCCACAUUUGAAAAGUUCACAGCACAGAUUUCUGGUUACUGAAAGAAAGGAAAGACCUUCUUUGGAUUUGAAUAAACAGAUGGACUUUCUUCUCCUU
rnacentral:lncRNA from 1 species